UAUCUUCAAAUUAUUUUAAUUCCCACCCAAAUUUUAUUUUUGGGCGCCCUCUUUCUGACCUCUUUCCCUACCGCCAUUGUCGUCUACACCCUUAGUACUACAGCGUCGUCGCCAAAAACUCCCUCCGUUGCGCAGCACGCUGCCAUCAUCCAUCAGCUCCUCCGUUGCCGCACAAUAGCCUUGCCGUCGCCAAGAAAGUCCAGCCUCGCACAACAGCCGCCGUCGCACAAAAGCUCCUCCGUCGUCCCACAGUAGCCCCAGCAGCUCCUCCGUCGUCGCACAGAAACCUCUUUGUCGCCCAGCCUCGCCACCCAGCCCGUUCUAUUGCUGCUGCCAUCUUGACUAGUGAAAUAGUAGGAGAAGUGUACGAUGUUGUAGAUGUGCUUCAAAGAAAAGCAGAUAUAGCAAGCCAUUCAGAUGCUUUUAUUGCCUUACCAUGUCUUAUAAACUUAAAAGACUUGCAAAUUUCAUCCAGCAACGAUACAGAUUGCAGUGAUUCUUACCUGAAAGGGCAUGGUGGCUCACAGCUCUCAAUUGUGUUAAACUUUCAAAUUCAAGGAGCUGUUAAUAAUGGUUGAUACUUGCCAAACUGCUACACUUUUCUCUUAGUUUAUGUACAAGGAGUAUUGUUGAUGUCAACAGCAUAUUAUCGAACUGAUAUAUACCCGCAUGUACAGGGGGAGGUGCCCGUGACAAACUUGAUCAAUUGGAAUAUAGGAAUACGCAUUCAUAUAUUACCCACUUUCUCCACCUAACAGAAGUUCCAAGCAUGUGAAAUUAUUGUUAUUUCAUUCUUUUAUAUUAAUUCUUGAAAGGUUGAUUUUAGUGGUAAUAUUUGUGUGAGAUGAAAGUAAUGAACACAGCAAAUAACACUCAAAUAGGUGAAAUGAAGGGCUUCACUAAGCCAACUUUUGCUUAUAUGUUUUUAUUCUUAGUGUAUUAAUGGUGAGCAGCUUCUAUGAAAAGAUGUAGACAGUACUCACCGGUUCAAGGCUUGUUGGUAAAUUAUCCCAGAAGAAACUGCUACGGGAAGACAACCACAUAACUUAAGAAGAGAGUUCUAUCAAUCGAAUGACUUCGCGGAUGCUGAGUCAACAGGCAGAUGCUUGUGAUUCCGAAGUUGGAAGCGAGAUUAUAAGCAGGGGUUUUACUAUUUGAGCGCACCAUUGUUGUUGUAAGACUUGAGGCAAAAUUAGUUCAAAUGCAAACGAGUUGAGGCAAAAUAGCCCACAAAUACAUUAUUAUGACUAUUUGUUAUAACUAGU